rnacentral:lncRNA from 1 species
UUUUGUAGGCACUGGUUUGACUUUUGGCCAUUGAAUUCUUUUGCUUGGGUUCGGAUUUGAUGAUAAGGUGGCUUAGAUCAGUUGGACAUGUUUUCACAUAUCACACCUUAUUCAGUUACUCUUAAAUGCAAUAAUCUUUAUUUUUUCUUGAUCAACCGAGCGUUUCCUUUCAUUUAGAAUAAGAGUGAGCUACGGUUUUUUCGAAUUUGUAAAGACUAAACCUUCCCUCGGACCAGACGAUGUAAGAUUUUUAGUAACUUUAAU